rnacentral:rRNA from 1 species
UACGGAGGGUGCGAGCGUUAAUCGGAAUUACUGGGCGUAAAGCGUGCGCAGGCGGUUUUGUAAGCCAGAUGUGAAAUCCCCGGGCUUAACCUGGGAAUGGCAUUUGGGACUGCAAGGCUGGAGUGUGGCAGAGGAGACUGGAAUUCCUGGUGUAGCAGUGAAAUGCGUAGAUAUCAGGAGGAAUACCGAUGGCGAAGGCAGGUCUCUGGGCUGACACUGACGCUCAUGCACGAAAGCGUGGGGAGCAAACAGG